rnacentral:snRNA from 1 species
GUACCCAGUUUGACAGCACAUAUAAAAAAAUUGAAAUGACCCAGAGGAGAUUGACAUGGGCCCUGUGCAAGGAUAACAUGCACAUCUGUGAUUUACCAUUGAA